rnacentral:rRNA from 1 species
UUUUCUUUAGUUUGUAUAUCGUUGUUAUUGAAUUUCUUUAUAGGGUAAUUUCAUUUAUUUUUAUAUAAAUUAAUUUCCGAUCAAGGUGCAGUUUAUGGAAAAGUACGUGAUGGGUUACAAUAAAUUUAUUUUUGGUUAUUAAAUUUAAGUUUUUAAUAUAAAUUGGAUUUAACAGUAAUUAAAUUAAUUUUAUUUUGAUGAUUAUUGUUCUGAAAUAUGUACAUAUUGCCCGUCGCUUUCAAUUAAUUUGAGAUAAGUCGUAACAAAGUAGAUGUACUGGAAAGUGUAUCUAGAAUACAAAUUGAAGCUUUGAGGAAGCUUUUUAUUUACAUUAAAAUUAUUACUGUUCAAUUCAGUACAUUUUGAUUAAAAUUAAAUUAUUUAUUUUAUUUAAUAGAAGAAACUUUAUUUUAUUAUUAAUUUGAAAAAUUAUUUUUAACUAUAGUUUAUUAGUAAAGUGAUUGAAUAUUAUUUCUUAUUAUACACGUAAAAUUUAUUUUUUGUACCUUGUGGAUCAGGGUUUAUUUAUUAUAAUUUAUUUAUUUAAUUUUCUCGAAUUUAAAAGAUCUAAUUAUUUAUUUAUUUAAAUGUUGAAUAAUUUUUUUUAAUAUUUAAUUAGAAGUGAAAUGCUAUUCGAUUUUAAAUAUAUCUAGUUUUUUAAGAAAAGAAUUUAAUUCUAUUAUUAUUUUUUAAGUGUUUUUUUUUAAUUCUUAAGUUUUAAUAUUAAAUAUUUAAUGGGAUGAGCUUUUAAUUAUAUUUUUAUAAUAAUAAUAUUUUUUAAUAUUUUGUAUAAUUUGAAUUGUUAAUCAUAAAUAAAAUAAUAUUUAGGUUUAUAAAUUAAAAGAUUUUUUGUUAUUUAAUUGUUUUAUUAAAAUAAAAUAUUAAAUUUUAAUUUUUUGUAUUAAUGAUGAAAUUAGUAAUAAUAAUUUAAUCRCUGUUUAUAAUUGUAAGAUUAUGAAAAGGAACUCGGCAAAAUAACUUUCGCCUGUUUAACAAAAACAUGUUUUUUUGAUUAUAAUUUAAGAUUUAAUCUGCUCAAUGAAGGAUUAAAUAGCCGCAGUAUUUUGACUGUGCAAAGGUAGCGUAAUAAUUAGUCUCCUAAUUAGGGAUUUGUAUGAAUGAUUUGACAAGAAAAUUUCUGUCUCUUUUUAAUUUAUAUGAAUUUAAUUUUUAAGUUAAAAUGCUUAAAUAUUUAUAAAAGACGAGAAGACCCCAUAGAGUUUUAUUUUUAUAAAUUUUUAGUAUAAAUAUAUAAAGAAAAAUUAGUUGGGGUGAUUGAAAGAUUAAAAUAACUCCUUUUAAUUAAAAUCAUUGAUUUAUGAAUAAUA